GGCCUCAUAGUUAAAUGGAUAUAACAAAGGUCUUCUAAACCUUAGUUCGGGGUUCGAUUCCCUGUGGGGCUA
rnacentral:tRNA from 1 species